UGAGGAAUAUUGGUCAAUGGACGAGAGUCUGAACCAGCCAAGUCGCGUGAAGGAAGACGGAUCUAUGGUUUGUAAACUUCUUUAGUGUGGGAACAAAGCGUGGUUGCGACCACAAAUGAGUGUACCACAAGAAUAAGCAUCGGCUAACUCCGUGCCAGCAGCCGCGGUAAUACGGAGGAUGCGAGCGUUAUCCGGAUUUAUUGGGUUUAAGGGGUGCGUAGGCUGUUUGACAAGUCAGUGGUGAAAGCCCGGGGCUUAACUCCGGAACUGCCGUUGAUACUGUUGAGCUGGAAUACGGAUGCCGUGGGAGGAAUGAGUAGUGUAGCGGUGAAAUGCAUAGAUAUUACUCAGAACACCGAUUGCGAAGGCAUCUCACGAAUCCGUCAUUGACGCUGAGGCACGAAAGCGUGGGGAUCAAACAGGAUUAGAUACCCUGGUAGU
rnacentral:rRNA from 1 species